GUGCACUCCCAUUCACUUUCUGCAUAUUAAGGGAUUAACUAAAAAAAAUAACAAAAAAAAAUUCAAGUACUUCCUUUCCCCAACCCAUCGUGACUCUCUCUCUCUUUACUGUAAUUUCUUCAAACAGGGAGCACACCCAAUUUCUUUUGAUGAACAAACCAGACAAUACACACACGCACCAACAUCACGAAAUUGAAUACACCCGGAGUCCACUGUCUCUCCAUGUCGUCGCCCCGCACACGCCGUCAGCGCCGCUGCGUCCCCGCUGAACUCCGCCGUUCGCCUGGGUCCGCCGUUCGCCUGGGUUUGAGAGCAGCCGCUGCUGUCCGUCCAAUCCAGCCAUCGUACCGUCGAGAUCAGUAGCCCCGAUUUACCCCGAAAAUUCCCUAUUUAAAUCUUGCAGAAAAGUUCUUACUUUUUGAUUUAAUGAAACAAGAUCACGGAGGAGGAAAAACUCAUCACGGAGGAGGAAAAACUCGAGGAAAAACUCUGCAGAAUCUUUAAUUAGAAAUUUGAAUUAAUGCAGCCCGUUGACCAAGUCAGCUUGGAGAAGAUUUAGUUAGAUUAGUUUAAUUCACGGUCCCUUUGUAUUUUAUUUAAAUUGUGCAGCCCACAAUUUAUUUAUCACGGACUAAAUUUUUAUAUCAUUUAUUCAAUUUAUACGAUCCAACUCGUGGAUUGAGGCCAAUAUAUUUAUUCCUCACGGAAAGGAAUUUUUUUAAA